CUCUGUGACUCCUACGGGAGGCAGCAGUGGGGAAUAUUGCACAAUGGGGGAAACCCUGAUGCAGCCAUGCCGCGUGUGUGAAGAAGGCCUUCGGGUUGUAAAGCACUUUCAGUAGGGAGGAAGGUAGUGUAGUUAACACCUGCACUAUUUGACGUUACCUACAGAAGAAGCACCGGCUAAACUCCGUGCCAGCAGCCGCGGUAAUACGGAGGGUGCGAGCGUUAAUCGGAAUUACUGGGCGUAAAGCGCAUGCAGGCGGCCUGUUAAGUCAGAUGUGAAAGCCCCGGGGCUUAACCUCGGAAUUGCAUUUGAAACUGGCAGGCUAGAGUCUUGUAGAGGGGGUAGAAUUUCAGGUGUAGCGGUGAAAUGCGUAGAGAUCUGAAGGAAUACCAGUGGCGAAGGCGGCCCCCUGGACAAAGACUGACGCUCAGAUGCGAAAGCGUGGGGAGCAAACAGGAUUAGAUACCCUGGUAG
rnacentral:rRNA from 1 species